GACAAUGGAGGUAACUCUGAUCCAGCCAUGCCGCGUGCAGGAAGACUGCCCUAUGGGUUGUAAACUGCUUUUAUACAGGAAGAAAUAUACCUACGUGUAGGUAUUUGACGGUACUGUACGAAUAAGGAUCGGCUAACUCCGUGCCAGCAGCCGCGGUAAUACGGAGGAUCCAAGCGUUAUCCGGAAUCAUUGGGUUUAAAGGGUCCGUAGGCGGUCUUUUAAGUCAGAGGUGAAAUCCUACAGCUCAACUGUAGAAUUGCCUUUGAUACUGAAAGACUUGAGUUAUUGUGAAGUAGUUAGAAUGUGUGGUGUAGCGGUGAAAUGCAUAGAGAUCACACAGAAUACCGAUUGCGAAGGCAGAUUACUAACAAUAUACUGACGCUGAGGGACGAAAGCGUGGGUAGCGAACAGGAUUAGAUACCCUGGUAGUCCACGCCGUAAACGAUGGAUACUAGCUGUUCGACCAACAUUGGUUGGUUGAGUGGCUAAGCGAAAGUGAUAAGUAUCCCACCUGGGGAGUACGGUCGCAAGACUGAAACUCAAAGGAAUUGACGGGGGCCCGCACAAGCGGUGGAGCAUGUGGUUUAAUUCGAUGAUACGCGAGGAACCUUACC
rnacentral:rRNA from 1 species